rnacentral:rRNA from 1 species
UUUUCUCCUGGAAACGGGUGGUAAUGCCGGAUGCUCCAGUUGAUCGCAUGGUCUUCUGGGAAAGCUUUCGCGGUAUGGGAUGGGGUCGCGUCCUAUCAGCUUGACGGCGGGGUAACGGCCCACCGUGGCUUCGACGGGUAGCCGGCCUGAGAGGGCGACCGGCCACAUUGGGACUGAGAUACGGCCCAGACUCCUACGGGAGGCAGCAGUGGGGAAUAUUGCACAAUGGGCGCAAGCCUGAUGCAGCGACGCCGCGUGAGGGAUGGAGGCCUUCGGGUUGUAAACCUCUUUUAUCGGGGAGCAAGCGAGAGUGAGUUUACCCGUUGAAUAAGCACCGGCUAACUACGUGCCAGCAGCCGCGGUAAUACGUAGGGUGCAAGCGUUAUCCGGAAUUAUUGGGCGUAAAGGGCUCGUAGGCGGUUCGUCGCGUCCGGUGUGAAAGUCCAUCGCUUAACGGUGGAUCCGCGCCGGGUACGGGCGGGCUUGAGUGCGGUAGGGGAGACUGGAAUUCCCGGUGUAACGGUGGAAUGUGUAGAUAUCGGGAAGAACACCAAC